AGCAGCCGCGGUAAUUCCAGCUCCAAUAGCGUAUAUUAAAGUUGUUGCAGUUAAAAGCUCGUAGUUGAAUUUCGGGGUUAGUAGGUUGGUCAUGCCUCUGGUAUGUACUGGUCUCACUGAUUCCUCCUUCCUGAUGAACCUUAAUGCCAUUAAUUUGGUGUUUUGGGAAAUUUGGACUGUUGCUUUGAAAAAUUGAGUGUUUAAAGCAAGCUAACGCUUGAAUACAUUAGCAUGGAAUAAUGAAAUAGGACGUUCGAUCCUAUUUUGUUGGUUUCUAGGAUUGACGUAAUGAUUAAUAGGGAUAGUUGGGGGCAUUAGUAUUCAAUUGUCAGAGGUGAAAUUCUUGGAUUUAUGAAGACUAACUACUGCGAAA
rnacentral:rRNA from 1 species